AUACCUAUAGUAACUGAAUAGUGGGAUCACCUCAUAUAACUAUUAGUAUGUGUCUACUUAUUACUGAGAUGUCACAUACUAUGUAGCUAUUUGAAUAUUUCAUAACCAUCAAUUCAAAAAUUGGUGGAAGACAAAUGUUUUUUCCUAUUUUUCUAUUCCUAAAUUGUAUACAAAGUAGUUCGUUAUAGAGAUCAUUGAAGGCAUGGCAAAAAUUGUUUACUAGACAUUAUGAAUUUCAGUAACAGAU